UCAUAAGUACUCGUACAUACAUUGUGGGAUUCGUAAACACAUAGCACGCGAAACACACACACAUUGUGGGAUUCGUACACACAUAGCAUGCGAACCACACGCAAUUGUGGGAUUCGUACACACAUAGCACGCGAACCACACACAUUGUGGGAUUCGUAAACACAUAGCACGCGAAACACACACACAUCGUGGGAUUCGUAAACACAUAGCACGCGAAACACAAACACAUUCACCAAAUGUGUGUGUGAAUUGUUUUACGCGCAUUUGCAACGUGCUUCCAAUUACAAAUUCCCACUUACGAAUGUGUGGAUCGUUUUGAUACCCGUCAUGCGCAACUGAGAAGAACACAUGCAUUUUUUUAACUGGAGCCCGUCUUCAGCCAAUCAGACGUCUUCUUCUUAAACAGCCAAUCACAAGGGCUGGGCUGUUUCGUUACGUCCCUGCUGUGCGCCUUCAAGUCCGGUGUACUGAGUGACAAGUGACAAAUGGGGAGCUUUUGUAAAAGUAGGAGCCCCGUUUUUGACAGCUCAACUCGACCGCGGGGACUAUCGAUGCAAGCUGAAGACGUCCCAUCCAUUUUGAGUGGGAGGACCUCCCAUGCACUUCAAAUGUAUUGGAUGUCAACUGGUGAAAAACUCAUUGAACCGCUCAGCAGAGGGAUGAUGAGAGCAAGAUUAGAUGUCUAAUACUGUACUAUAUGUGGCACAUUUUUAACAGGCUUUUUUUCCGCUAAAUAAAUCUUUUUAAGAUUACUUUCUCCAUUUCAAGCCUAUUUGAAAGUCAUACUUGGGAAAAUUCAGACUUCUUAAUGUAUGAUUGUGAUGUCUAUGCUUAAACCAAUUUAAGACCAUUUUAAAAGGAAAAAAAUAGACAUUAUAAGCCUGUUAAAAAUGCUACCUACAGUGACAGUAUUUAAAGGAUGGUAGUCUAUUACGGAUAUAAAAAAAUAUAUUUUUUGAAAGACUUGGAGCAACAGAGCUUUCUUGCCAAAUGAAUCACAUUUGAUACACUUAGGAUUUAGAACUCUUUCCUCAAAAAAAAAAAAAAAAAAAAAUGGAUGCAAGUCAACUCAUGCAUCUGCAUGUUCCAUGAGAAAAACAGGAUUUAACAAGGAAAAUAGAUAUUAGAGCGCUUAUUACACAUUUUUCUUUACAAAUUUGGAAAAAAAAAGGUUUAAGACCUUAUUUUUCACAUUUUGUGAUUCUCUGACAAUUGCUUCAUAUUGCAGGCAUUAAGGGGUUAAGACCUGCCACAUGAAUUUUACUACCUUUUUAAACACUUUUUUUUAUUGCGACAAACCUAAUAAGUGAUCAAUGAUGGCAAGAGAGGAUAAAGCGCAGCAGCAAAUCCUCAGAUCUGUUCUUUGGAUGCCUUUGAAAGUAAAUAGUGACAUUGAGAGCAAUCAGGAGUUCAAUUAUGUGAGGUGAGGAGACCAAGUAAGUUUUGAGACAUUUUUUAAAUUUAAAUAGACAUCUCAGACUCCCAGCCUGUAGGAGGGCACAGGCUAGAUCUCCUCGAGCCUUCAGAACUUCGGGAAGGUGGGUCUGGUUGUGCCUGAGAUCUCCAUUGGCCAUAUACUCUUCCGCAAACUGAAAUGGCAUUUUAGGCAUUCUGUUACAUAUCAGUGCUAAACAACAACAGCAGCAAAGUUUUACUGCAGAGACUCCGAAAUCUUAAAAUCAUUACCUUUAAUGUGAAAACCCCACAGCUACUGUUGUUCUGCUGCUUGUUAUGGGCCACAGUUUUGGUAGUCCAAGUUUCUAUUUGGAACUCACGGCCCGCCAACCUCAAGAAGUUCCUAAUUAUUGUUUUAUAAGCAAAACAAUGAAGAUGAACAUUGAACUAUUAACUUCCAUAUUAACAUAAUACUAGGAAUUUAAACUUUCUGAAGCGGUUACCUCCAAUUCCGCAAGAUUUUGCUCAUAUUUGUCCUCGUCACUCAAGGGAUCGUUGAUCACCAGUGUUCUCUUAGAAAUGUGGACAAUCUAUAAAAGGUUAGUUCCUUUGUGUAAUUCUGCACAAUGACAGAUUUAUGUAGUUAACUUACUAAUGAAAUUUAACUUCUGUAUGGCAUCAGCUAAAUUAAUAGCUAUAUAUAAUACAUUCCAGAAUCGGUAGGUCUUAAGAAAAUAUAAGAAACCCACUAACCACUAAAAUCCAAUGAGCGCAUACAGGACAGGACAGGACAAAUACACUUUUUUUUUCAACAGGGAAUUUCCUCUGAAGAACAUACAAUACCAAAUUAUUGUUAUUUUGGGUUACUGGCGUUAAAAUAAUAUAGCUAAAUAUUGGCAUGAAAUGGAUUACCUUUCUAACAGGCUGAAAUUUUCCCAAAAGCAGACUCCCAGCUACCACAGCAGAGAGUUGGUGAAUGGGCUCCUGUUAAAAAAAGGGGUAACAACAUUACAACUAUACUCCGGCAAAAAAUAAAUGCAUUGAGAAAAACUAUAUCCAGCACUUGGCUGCUGCCUUUCAAUGAGGAUAUGCAUGUAUGCAUCAAAUACUUGCAUAGCAAAAUAAAAAAAUUGGCAAAAGGCAAGAAUCUUUGUUAUUUGCUAAACACUUAUUGCUCCCACUGACUUCAUCAGACAGCCAGCCGUUGCCUUUUAGCGUAUGAAAAGAUGUGUCAUAUAAUUUAUACGGUCCAACGACAGCCUCCACCUUGCCUUGAUCCUCUGCAGCCCACAGUAAUUUAACUGAAAACACAACAUUGUUAAAUCAAAAAAGUUAUUAUUUACGGCACUUGACCAGAUGACCAUCCGGUCAAAAUUAUCUACUGAAUAGGCCAAACCACCAAACAAAUCCUGUCGGUCGUUCACCAAUUUUGUAAGAGCUGUACGAAGUAGAAGGGUACAAUUAGAUAUACAUUUUAGAACACCAACAACAAC